rnacentral:rRNA from 1 species
AUUGAACGCUGGCGGCAGGCCUAACACAUGCAAGUCGAACGAGUGGCGGACGGGUGAGUAAUGUCUGGGAAACUGCCCGCUGGAGGGGGAUAACUACUGGAAACGGUAGCUAAUACCGCAUACCAUCGGAUGUGCCCAGAUGGGAUUAGCUGGUAGGUGAGGUAACGGAUCACCUAGGCGACGAUCCCUAGCUGGUCUGAGAGGAUGACCAGCGACACUGGAACUGAGACACGGUCAAGACUCGUACGGGAGGCAGCAGGGGGGAAUAUGGCACAAUGGGGGCAAGACUGAUACAGCCAGGCGGGGUGGAUGAAGAAGGCCUUCGGGUUGUAAAGGACUUUCAGCGGGGAGGCGUUACACGCAGAAGAAGCACCGGCUAACGCCGUGCCAGCAGCCGCGGUAAUUC